CAGUUCAGUAACUUCACAGAAACCUCCCAGGAAAUGCAUCCUAUUCACAGCUGGGUUCAUCCUAUACCCAGCGACCUGUGGCCAGUGUGGCGCUGUGAUUAGAGGCGGCUCAGCGCCUUCAGAGGAGCGGCCUGGCUGUGCGCACAUUAGAGAAAGGCUUCCAUCGUCGUUGGUCCUCUUUCUCACAGGGACUCUGGGGUCUUGGUGCCGGGAGAUGCAACCGCCUCUGGCAGCCCGGCUUCAUUUUAGGGACAGUGACUAUGGAGAAACCCAGGUCUGACCCAUUUUCUCCAGAGGGGAGGGAGCCACAGGGAAAGGCCCCUUGUUGCUCUAAAAGAAGGUGGAGUCCCAGGCAGAAGAGUUCUUCAGGCUGAAUGGAAAUGAUUCCAGAGGGAAAUGCAGAUAUGAAGAAGGAGAUAAAGAGCUCCAGAAAUGGCAAAUAGCAGGGUGAGCCUACGCGACUUCUCUAACGGAAGAAAUUACCUUUAAAACACACGUGCAGGCUUAGAGCAAAAGAAACCGUGCCAUAAGGUGUGAGUAAGUGAAGUGCCUGUGACACCCACAGAUCAGAGAAGCAGAGGCCUCCGGGAUGGCAAGGCAAGGUUGCCGCAUUUCAUAUGAAGUGCACAAUCAUCAUAAAAGAAUGCAUUAAAUAUACAUAUGUAUGCAUUCAAAUUACACUAACAUCACAUAUAUCCAUUAGACUUUAUCAAAAUUAAAAUCUUCUGUUCAUCCACAUAAAACGAUGUCACUUACUGCAAAAAAUAUUCUCAAAUAUUUAUCCAAGUGCUGAGAUCCAGAAUAAGUAACCCCUAAAAUUUCAUAAUAAAACAACUUGGUGAAACAACGGUCAAAGGAUUUGAACACUUCGCCAAAUGAUGGCAAAUAAACACAAGAAAAAGUGCUCGACAGACUCGAGCACCAGGAAGAUGCGUCGUAAACACCAACAAAAACCACCACACACACCCACAGUAGCCAAAAUCUAUAAAACUGGUGGCACCAAACGUGAGGGAGGAUGUGGCCCACCCAGCACUGUUGCUGUGCAUUCUUGGUGAGA
rnacentral:lncRNA from 10 species